rnacentral:lncRNA from 10 species
ACUUGGUCUCCUGCUUUCGCGACAUGGCCUUCAAUUUUGGGGCUCCCUCGGGCACCUCCGGUACCGCUGCAGCCACCGCGGCCCCCGCGGGAUUUGGUGGGCUUGAGACUGCCAACUCCACCGCCAGUGGGUUUAAUUUUGGGGGUUUCGGAUUAACUGCUAAUCCUGCAGUGAACUUUAAUAUUGGGAAUUUCGGUGUUUCUACUACCUCGGCGACUCCGUUCAAUUUUGGUAACAGUCUGGCAAGUGCAGAUCUGCUAUUACUAAAACAUUUUUGAUGUUGUGGAGCAUGAUGAGAAACUGACUAGUGUUUCUAUUGCGUAGCCAAUUCAGAUUAUAUCAUAGUUAUUCUAUGGAAGUGAAGAAUAAUGAAAAGAAAUUACAACAGUGCUUAGUACUGUGGGUUUGGAGGAUUUGGGACAACAUCUACAACUGCAGGUUCUGCAUUCAGCUUUUCUGCCCCAACUAACACAGGCACUACUGGACUCUUUGGUGGUACUCAGAACAAAGGUUUUGGAUUUGGUACUGGUUUUGGCACAACAACGGGAACUAGUACUGGUUUAGGUACUGGUUUGGGAA